rfam:Bacillus atrophaeus 1942, complete genome.
AAAACCUUUUAAUGAAAGUCCAGAGAGGCUUGGAAGGGUUAUGAAGAGAAGAAAGCUGCACGCUCCUCCUCUAUUUAACCGCACCCCGAGUCUGUUAACAGACCGGGGUUUUUUUACG